AGCGAACGCUGGCGGCAGGCUUAACACAUGCAAGUCGAGCGGGCAUCUUCGGAUGUCAGCGGCAGCCGGGUGGGUAACACGUGGGAACGUACCCUUCGGUUCGGCACAACUCUGGGAAACUGGAGCUAAUACCGGAUGCGCCCUUAUGGGGAAAGGUUUAUGGCCGAAGGGUCGGCCCGCGUCUGCUUGGCUAGUGGGUGGGGUAACGGCCUACCAAGGCGACGGGCAGUGGCUGGUCUGAGAGGAUGAUCAGCCACACUGGGACUUAGGCACGGCCCCGACUCCUACGGGAGGGAGCAGAGGGGAAUAUUAUACAAGGAGCGCAAGCCUGAUCCAGCCAUGCCGCGGGAGUGAUGAAGGCCUUAGGGUUGUAAAGCUCUUUUGUCCGGGACGAUAAUGACGGUACCGGAAGAAUAAGCCCCGGCUAACUUCGUG
rnacentral:rRNA from 1 species